CCUACUGGGCGCUGCAGUAGGGAAUUUUGCGCAAUGGGCGAAAGCCUGACGCAGCAACUCCGCGUGAUCGAGACGCCCUUCGGGGUGUAAAGAUCUGUCAGUGGGGACGAAACUUGACGGUACCCACAGAGGAAGCACCGGCUAACUCCGUACCAGCAGCCGCGGUAAUACGGGGGGUGCAAGCGUUGUCCGGCAUCAUUGGGCGGCAAGAGUUAGUAGGCGGCACGUAAAGUCUGGUGUUAAAGGCAGAGGCUCAAUUUAGGUACGGAACUGGAUUCUUGCGAGGUAGAAUGCUGGAGAGGUAAAGGGAAUUCCUGGUGUAGCGGUGAAAUGCUGAGAUAUCAGGAGGAACAUCGGUGGCGUAAGCGCUUUACUGGGCCGUAAUUGACGCUGAGGAACGAAAGCCAGGGUAGCAAAUGGGAUUAGAUACCCGGGUAGUC
rnacentral:rRNA from 1 species